rnacentral:lncRNA from 1 species
GCAAAAACAAAAGCUAUCUUUAAAACUUCAAAUGUUGCUUCUACUUCUUCAUUCCAUUAAAAUUUGCCUAUAUAAGUUGUGAGUAUAAAUUUCACCCCUCUAUCCAAAUUAAAAGAUGGCCUCAAUUAAGAGUUGCUUGUAAUGGGUAGUAUGAAGUGGAAGAUGAAAUGAAUAAGAACAAAAGAAGAAACAACACAAACAAGUG